rnacentral:lncRNA from 1 species
AAAAUUGGCAUUAGAAAAAGAAAAAUAUAUUUAUAUUAUAAAAUAUCCCUUUUUUUUUAAUAACUUCUAAGAAAAUAAUUUAAUUUAAAAACUAGUGAAUAAAUUUUAAAAAGAGAUAACAUGUCUAAGUACAACAAGAAUUGUGUUGAUAAAUUCUUAUAUAAUGUUGUUUUAAUAAAAUUUCAUAUUAUGGUUUCAAUUUUUAAUUAAAUUUAAUUUCUCACUGUAUUAAUUUUUUCUUAAUUUACUUAAAAAAAUUUCACAAUGAUUUUUUUUUAAGUACAAAAAAACAAAACAUCUAAUAUUUUUUAAGAUAAAAUAAAAAAUA